UACGUAGGGUGCGAGCGUUGUCCGGAUUUACUGGGCGUAAAGGGUGAGUAGGCGGUUGUAUAUGUCAGGUGUAAAAGGCUAUGGCUUAACCAUGGUUAGCACUUGAAACUGUACAACUUGAGUGCAGGAGAGGUAAGUGGAAUUCCUAGUGUAGCGGUGAAAUGCGUAGAUAUUAGGAGGAACACCAGUGGCGAAGGCGACUUACUGGACUGUAACCGACGCUGAGUCACGAAAGCGUGGGUAGCAAACAGGAUUAGAUACCCUGGUAGUCCCU
rnacentral:rRNA from 1 species